rnacentral:rRNA from 1 species
UACGUAGGGGGCCAGCGUUGUCCGGAAUCAUUGGGCGUAAAGAGCGCGUAGGCGGCCAGACAAGUCCGGUGUGAAAGUCACAGGCUCAACCUGUGAAUGCCGCUGGAAACUGUCUGGCUAGAGUCCGGAAGGGGCGAGUGGAAUUCCUGGUGUAGCGGUGAAAUGCGCAGAUAUCAGGAAGAACACCUAUGGCGAAGGCAGCUCUCUGGGACGGUACUGACGCUGAGACGCGAAAGCGUGGGGAGCGAACAGG